GGUUCGAUGGUGUAGUUGGUUAUCACGUUCGCCUCACACGCGAAAGGUCCUGAGUUCGAGCCUCAGUCGAAUCA